GUGUCAGCAGCCGCGGUAAUACGUAGGGUGCGAGCGUUAAUCGGAAUUACUGGGCGUAAAGCGUGCGCAGGUGGUUCGUCAAGUCUGAUGUGAAAGCCCCGGGCUCAACCUGGGAAUGGCAUUGGAAACUAGCGGGCUUGAGUGUGGCAGAGGGGGGUGGAAUUCCACGUGUAGCAGUGAAAUGCGUAGAGAUGUGGAGGAACACCGAUGGCGAAGGCAGCCCCCUGGGCUAACACUGACGCUCAUGCACGAAAGCGUGGGGAGCAAACAGGAUUAGAUACCCUAGUAGUCC
rnacentral:rRNA from 1 species